CUGUUCGAGCGUCAUUACAACCACUCAAGCCUUGGCUUGGUCUUGGGGUUCGCGGUCUCGCGGCCCUUAAAAUUAGUGGCGGUGCGUCUGGCUCUAAGCGUAGUAAUUCCCUCGCUAUAGAGUCCCGGUGGUUACCUGCCACGAACCCCCCAUUUUUUACGGUUGACCUCGGAUCAGGUAGGGAUACCCGCUGAACUUAA
rnacentral:misc_RNA from 1 species